rnacentral:rRNA from 1 species
GUGAGGAAUAUUGGUCAAUGGGCGGGAGCCUGAACCAGCCAAGUCGCGUGAAGGAAGAAGGAUCUAUGGUUCGUAAACUUCUUUUGCAGGGGAAUAAAGUGCGGGACGUGUCCUGUUUUGUAUGUACCCUGAGAAUAAGGAUCGGCUAACUCCGUGCCAGCAGCCGCGGUAAUACGGAGGAUCCGAGCGUUAUCCGGAUUUAUUGGGUUUAAAGGGUGCGUAGGUGGUUUGAUAAGUCAGCGGUGAAAGUUUGCAGCUUAACUGUAAAAAUGCCGUUGAAACUGUCGGACUUGAGUGUAAAUGAGGUAGGCGGAAUGCGUGGUGUAGCGGUGAAAUGCAUAGAUAUCACGCAGAACUCCGAUUGCGAAGGCAGCUUACUAAGCUACAACUGACACUGAAGCACGAAAGCGUGGGGAUCAAACAGGAUUAGAAACCCUUGUAGUCC